rnacentral:rRNA from 1 species
UACGAAGGGGGCUAGCGUUGCUCGGAAUCACUGGGCGUAAAGAGCGUGUAGGCGGCCAAACAGGUCAGCUGUGAAAACUCGAGGCUCAACCUCGAGACGUCGGUUGAAACCGUUUGGCUAGAGUCCGGAAGAGGAGAGUGGAAUUCCCGGUGUAGCGGUGAAAUGCGCAGAUAUCGGGAAGAACACCCGUGGCGAAGGCGGCUCUCUGGGACGGUACUGACGCUGAGACGCGAAAGCGUGGGGAGCCGAACAGG